rnacentral:rRNA from 1 species
AGGGUUUGAUCAUGGCUCAGAACGUACGCUGGCGGCACGCCUAACACAUGCAAGUCGAACGAAGUAGCAAUACUUAGUGGCAGACGGGUGAGUAACAUGUGGGUAUCUGCCCUUUGGCCUGGAAUAACACGAGGAAACUUGUGCUAAUACCAGAUAAGUCUUUACGGAGAAAGCUUUAUGCACCAUUGGAUGAGCCCGCACUUGAUUAGUUUGUUGGUGGGGUAAUGGCCUACCAAGACUAUGAUCAAUAGCUGAUUUGAGAGGAUGAUCAGCCACAUUGGGACUGAGACACGGCCCAAACUCCUACGGGAGGCAGCAGUGGGGAAUCUUGCACAAUGGAGGAAACUCUGAUGCAGCGAUGCCGCGUGAGUGAAGAAGGCCUUUGGGUUGUAAAGCUCUUUCGUCGGGGAAGAAAAUGACUGUACCCGAAUAAGAAGGUCCGGCUAACUUCGUGCCAGCAGCCGCGGUAAUACGAAGGGACCUAGCGUAGUUCGGAAUUACUGGGCUUAAAGAGUUCGUAGGUGGUUGAAAAAGUUGGUGGUGAAAUCCCAGAGCUUAACUCUGGAACUGCCAUCAAAACUUUUCAGCUAGAGUUGAUAGAGGAAAGCAGAAUUUCUAGUGUAGAGGUGAAAUUCGUAGAUAUUAGAAAGAAUACCAAUUGCGAAGGCAGCUUUCUGGAUCAUUACUGACACUGAGGAACGAAAGCAUGGGUAGCGAAGAGGAUUAGAUACCCUCGUAGUCCAUGCCGUAAACGAUGUGUGUUAGACGUUGGAAAUUUAUUUUCAGUGUCGCAGCGAAAGCGAUAAACACACCGCCUGGGGAGUACGACCGCAAGGUUAAAACUCAAAUGAAUUGACGGGGACCCGCACAAGUAGUGGAGCAUGUGGUUUAAUUCGAAGAUACGCGCAGAACCUUACCAACACUUGACAUGUUCGUCGCGACUUUAAGAGAUUAAAGUUUUCGGUUCGGCCGGACGAAACACAGGUGCUGCAUGGCUGUCGUCAGCUCGUGUCGUGAGAUGUUGGGUUAAGUCCCGCAACGAGCGCAACCCUCACUUUUAGUUGCCAUCAUUAAGUUGGGCACUCUGAAAGAACUGCCAGUGAUAAGCUGGAGGAAGGUGGGGAUGACGUCAAGUCCUCAUGGCCCUUACGUGUUGGGCUACACACGUGCUACAAUGGUAUUUACAACAGGAAGCAAAACAGCGAUGUUAAGCAAAUCCUUAAAAAAUACCUCAGUUCGGAUUGCACUCUGCAACUCGAGUGCAUGAAGCUGGAAUUACUAGUAAUCGUGGAUCAGCGUGCCACGGUGAAUGCGUUCCCGGGUCUUGUACACACCGCCCGUCACACCAUGGGAGUUGGUUCUACCUUAAGGCAAGGCAUAAAACCCUUGACCACGGUAUAGUCAGCGACUGGGGUGAAGUCAUAACAAGGUAGCCGUA